rnacentral:SRP_RNA from 1 species
UGUCAGGAACACUCGGCAGGAGUUUGCCCAACCCCGCCAGGUCCGAAAGGAAGCAACGGUAAGCAAAUUUCCUGGGUGAGUGUCUCCUGACUUUU